rnacentral:rRNA from 1 species
UGGGCGGAGGGUGAGUAAUGUCUGGGAAACUGCCUGAUGGAGGGGAUAACUACUGGAAACGGUAGCUAAUACCGCAUAACGUCGCAAGACCAAAGAGGGGGACCUUAGGGCCUCUUGCCAUCGGAUGUGCCCAGAUGGGAUUAGCUAGUAGGUGGGGUAACGGCUCACCUAGGCGACGAUCCCUAGCUGGUCUGAGAGGAUGACCAGCCACACUGGAACUGAGACACGGUCCAG